rnacentral:rRNA from 1 species
GGAUGAACGCUGGCGGCGUGCCUAAUACAUGCAAGUAGAACGCUGAAGGAGGAGCUUGCUCUUCUGGAUGAGUUGCGAACGGGUGAGUAACGCGUAGGUAACCUGCCUCUUAGCGGGGGAUAACUAUUGGAAACGAUAGCUAAUACCGCAUAAAAGUCGRCAUUGCAUGAUGUUGACUUGAAAGGUGCAACUGCAUCACUAAGAGAUGGACCUGCGUUGUAUUAGCUAGUUGGUGAGGUAACGGCUCACCAAGGCGACGAUACAUAGCCGACCUGAGAGGGUGAUCGGCCACACUGGGACUGAGACACGGCCCAGACUCCUACGGGAGGCAGCAGUAGGGAAUCUUCGGCAAUGGACGGAAGUCUGACCGAGCAACGCCGCGUGAGUGAAGAAGGUUUUCGGAUCGUAAAGCUCUGUUGUAAGAGAAGAACGAGUGUGAGAGUGGAAAGUUCACACUGUGACGGUAACUUACCAGAAAGGGACGGCUAACUAC